UGGGUGCGACGUGGGGCUGCUGCGGCGCUCCUUGCUGCUUAGGGCUAGGGCUGCUUCUUUUUUGUUUUUUUUUUGUUCUGGGCUAGAAUUUGUUUUGGGCUGCUUAUUUGUUGGGUUUGAACUGUUUUUGUUUUGUUCGGACCCAAGCUGAUUAGGACUUAUUACAACACUGAUUGUGUAUUAAAUACAAAUCUAAUAUAUACAUAUUGUAUCUAGUAAUUAAUACAAACUUGUACCGAGAUUAUAGAUUGACAUGAAAAAUCAUAAGAGUACUGUAAACGUGAAAAUAAUCUUAAAAUGUUUAAGAGUGAGUUUGGAUGGAUGGUGUGUUUACUUACGGUUAAUGUAAAAAUAACA
rnacentral:lncRNA from 1 species